rnacentral:rRNA from 1 species
UUGAACGCUGGCGGCAGGCCUAACACAUGCAAGUCGAGCGGUAGCACAGAGAGCUUGCUCUCGGGUGACGAGCGGCGGACGGGUGAGUAAUGUCUGGGAAACUGCCUGAUGGAGGGGGAUAACUACUGGAAACGGUAGCUAAUACCGCAUAAUGUCGCAAGACCAAAGUGGGGGACCUUCGGGCCUCAUGCCAUCAGAUGUGCCCAGAUGGGAUUAGCUAGUAGGUGGGGUAACGGCUCACCUAGGCGACGAUCCCUAGCUGGUCUGAGAGGAUGACCAGCCACACUGGAACUGAGACACGGUCCAGACUCCUACGGGAGGCAGCAGUGGGGAAUAUUGCACAAUGGGCGCAAGCCUGAUGCAGCCAUGCCGCGUGUGUGAAGAAGGCCUUCGGGUUGUAAAGCACUUUCAGCGGGGAGGAAGGCGUUAAGGUUAAUAACCUUGGCGAUUGACGUUACCCGCAGAAGAAGCACCGGCUAACUCCGUGCCAGCAGCCGCGGUAAUACGGAGGGUGCAAGCGUUAAUCGGAAUUACUGGGCGUAAAGCGCACGCAGGCGGUCUGUCAAGUCGGAUGUGAAAUCCCCGGGCUCAACCUGGGAACUGCAUUCGAAACUGGCAGGCUAGAGUCUUGUAGAGGGGGGUAGAAUUCCAGGUGUAGCGGUGAAAUGCGUAGAGAUCUGGAGGAAUACCGGUGGCGAAGGCGGCCCCCUGGACAAAGACUGACGCUCAGGUGCGAAAGCGUGGGGAGCAAACAGGAUUAGAUACCCUGGUAGUCCACGCCGUAAACGAUGUCGAUUUGGAGGUUGUGCCCUUGAGGCGUGGCUUCCGGAGCUAACGCGUUAAAUCGACCGCCUGGGGAGUACGGCCGCAAGGUUAAAACUCAAAUGAAUUGACGGGGGCCCGCACAAGCGGUGGAGCAUGUGGUUUAAUUCGAUGCAACGCGAAGAACCUUACCUGGUCUUGACAUCCACAGAACUUUCCAGAGAUGGAUUGGUGCCUUCGGGAACUGUGAGACAGGUGCUGCAUGGCUGUCGUCAGCUCGUGUUGUGAAAUGUUGGGUUAAGUCCCGCAACGAGCGCAACCCUUAUCCUUUGUUGCCAGCGGUUAGGCCGGGAACUCAAAGGAGACUGCCAGUGAUAAACUGGAGGAAGGUGGGGAUGACGUCAAGUCAUCAUGGCCCUUACGACCAGGGCUACACACGUGCUACAAUGGCAUAUACAAAGAGAAGCGACCUCGCGAGAGCAAGCGGACCUCAUAAAGUAUGUCGUAGUCCGGAUUGGAGUCUGCAACUCGACUCCAUGAAGUCGGAGUCGCUAGUAAUCGUAGAUCAGAAUGCUACGGUGAAUACGUUCCCGGGCCUUGUACACACCGCCCGUCACACCAUGGGAGUGGGUUGCAAAAGAAGUAGGUAGCUUAACCUUCGGGAGGGCGCUUACCACUUUGUGAUUCAUGACUGGGGUG